UGUGGUCUCGCAAAUCGCGCAGAUUACAUAGGCCUACAUGUAUAUAAACCUGCGGCGGAAACCCCUCUAGUCUGUCAGUGGUGUGCUGUCUGAGGAGCUCCAGCAGCAGAGAUGAUCCUCAGACUGGGGCGGCUCACUCCAGGAUACUUCAGACUCCUGGAGAGGCAGGUCUCCGGUGAGGUCCGGAUGCAGCCACAGAGCAGCUUCAUCAAUCCCAUCGCCAUGACGAUGGCCACAUUGGGGAUGGGAGUAUCUCUGUACAGCGCCAGGCAGAUGGCAGAGAGGGAUCUGAAGCAUCAGUGAGAGCAGUGUGUAGGGUGUGGGACAGGGUGUGUGUGUGUGUGUGUGUGUGUGUGUGUGUGUGUGUGUGUGUGUGUGUGUGUGUGUGUGUGUGUGUGUGUGUGUG